rnacentral:rRNA from 1 species
UGGCGAACGGGUGAGUAACACGUGGGUGAUAUGCCCUGCACUUUGGGAUAAGCCUGGGAAACUGGGUCUAAUACCGGAUAGGACGAUGGUUUGGAUGCCAUUGUGGAAAGUUUUUCGGUGUGGGAUGAGCUCGCGGCCUAUCAGCUUGUUGGUGGGGUAAUGGCCUACCAAGGCGUCGACGGGUAGCCGGCCUGAGAGGGUGUACGGCCACAUUGGGACUGAGAUACGGCCCAG